rnacentral:rRNA from 1 species
ACUCCUACGGGAGGCAGCAGUGGGAAUCUUGGACAAUGGGGCAACCCGUGAUCCAGCCAUGCCGCGUGAGUGAUGAAGGCCCUAGGGUCGUAAAGCUCUUUCGCCUGUGAAGAUAAUGACUGUAGCAGGUAAAGAAACCCCGCGUACAUCCGUGCCAGCAGCCGCGGUAAUACGGAGGGGGUUAGCGUUGUUCGGAAUUACUGGGCGUAAAGCGCGCGUAGCGGACUGGAAAGUUGGGGUGGAAUACCGGG